AACCGGAGUGUCGCAUCACCUCCGGACAGCUGAAUACCCCGCCUCUUUGCACAAAAUGUGCAGUGUUUUGGUUCAGUUUGCGGUGUUUUUAAAGCUACACAUUUGAGCAGGGGCUCGUGUUGUUGCAAAAAAAAUGAAGCCAAAAGACAAACCGACUUCAGCGCAGAGGAGUUCCCCGAAGGGACUACAAUUAACUUGAGUGAAAACCAGCAAGGUGACGGGUGAGAAACUCGGCAGCAUAAGUCUGUCGCCUGGCUUCACUAACCGGAAUCAUGUGGUUUCUCUAAGUGUUCGGUUGAGCCACCAGUAACUGGGCGAACAAUUACCAGUCAUUAGUUAAUGUGGCUGCACUGGUGCCUAACCGGUUAUAUGCCGAACCGAGCCGGUAACCAGCUUGACGGUAACCACCCCUGGUAUGAUCUGUCGAUUGUAAAAUAAUUAAAAUGACACCUGUCGUUUGAGAGACUAAUAAGCGGUAGUACCGUAUGAGCAGCCUGUUUUUGUUAUUGAUCUCAGGAGUGGGCACUCUCAUUCGAAAAAGGCCCGUAUUCAGGAUUUUGGGACAAUCUUUUUAGGUCAAAUGUUCAAAUCCAGGUGAGGACUCAGCUUGUAAUACAACAGCAAUUUCCUUGUUUAAAGCUGCCACCACUUUUUUUUAACCGGUUCGGUAGUCGUCACCAGAUUCCCCACAAGAACCCACACACAGAAAACAGUAACAAGUACAUUUUCCUUUAUUCUUUACAAAAAUAUACUGUUCAUAUAAGAUACCAAGUUUAGGUGAAUGCCUGCAGGAAUACGGUUUAGCUAUGUUACAAAAAAACAACUUUUAUAGAUUUUUAUAGUAUAUACUGUAGUGCCUUCCACUACAGUAUAUACCAUAUUCGGUUAACUCCGUAUGCUUGUGCUAACCAGCGCGAAUGCGUUCAGCGUCUGUUGAGAGGUGGGGAGGGGCUGCGUGAGUGUGUGCGUGCGUGCGCACGCGCUGCGCUUUAGUGGUGUUGUGUGAAGUGUGGCUAUUUUGAACUUCACUGUUCAAACUUCAAACCCCAGUGCCUCACUCCAGCUUCAGCUAUAUCUUCAGAUUCUGAUCUUUCGCGAUACAUUUUUAGCGGUGCAGCAGUGAAAGAGGUCACCCCUUAAACAGUUUCCAGCUGCGCCACUUUCCGAACGUUGUGUAGGCUAAACCGGUAUUGCGGUAUAAGACAAAUUUAUAUCAUAAAAAUAAUAAAAAACGGUUUUCGGUAUUAACCGGUAUACCCCCCAGUACUAACUGUCUGCUGACAGCUCCAUUAGUUGAGUUUCUAACUCUACGGGGAGAGCAAUGUCAUCAGCAUUUGGGUCCACAGAAAAGGGGUGCAACAUCCACAUAUUGCCAUCUGUGUGAAGAAUUCCACAAAUUUCUCAGCCAGCUAUGACAAAUGGUUUGUGACUGUAUCCAUUAUGCUCACAUGUAGAGCGUUCUCCAAAACUUCGUUUAAACCUGGAAACAUUGUUAGAGCCCGUUUCAGCAAUCCACCUACUUACAGCAUCAUUGGAAAGCGGUACUCUUCCAUGUAUGACCCGCUGCCUUACCUCUAGUUGCCUGGCGAUUGGAAGAAGACUCCGCACUGGCUUGUCAUCACCUCCCUGCUCUCCAGUUAUUUCUCAAAUCUUAUGAUUGGGACAGUGUGACUUGGCACUUAACCAUCUCUCCUAUUUGACUAUCCCUGCCAGCCCCUGGAAGAUGGACUCCCCCUUUGAGUCUGGUCCAUCCCAAGGUUUCUUCCUUCUUGGGAGUUUUUCCUUGCCACUGUCGCCUUUGGCUUACUCACUGGGGGCUUUGGGUGAGGAUGCUGUAAAGCGCUUUGAGACGAUGUAAUGUGAUAAUGUGCUAUACAAAAAAAAAUUUGUUGUUUGUUGUUACUCACAGUAACUUUCUUGCAGCUGUUUCUCCAACCAUCUCGUGGCACGUGUCAACAGUGGCUGACAACACCAGUUCUUCAGCGAUAGUGAAAGCUUUCUUACACUGGGCUACACGCCUAGCUACCAGGUAGCUGGACAUCUGGGCACUCUUAUACUGUGUCGAUAGGGAGACAGUGGUCUACUUCUGUAGUUGUACUUUCCAGCGAUUUUGGGGUGCUAUGUUUCAAGAUGUCGCUUCGGUUUCGACUGUUUUAGCACUUUCUUGGAAAGUGUUAAUCCACACUCCACACACUGGGCCUUGGGCUCAGUGUCAUGAAAUCCCCAGGUAAAAUAUUUAAUGUAUUGUGGGUUAUAUUUUCUGAAAAUUUUACUUUUUGUUUACCACAGUAUCGACUUUUUAUUCGCACUUUACAAACUUCUUGUAAACUUUCCCUUUUUGCUUUUGAUGUAGUAUAAUGAACGUCACAGCACAGACGCGUUUCGGCAUGAUGCCUUCCUCAGUGUGCUACUAGCCCUGUGCACUUUUAGUCUAAAAAGAUACAUCCCUGCUGGGCAUCAGGGCAUCAUCAGACCACACGCCGAAUGAGUGGGAUCACACCAGAUUACUGACAAAAUGUACAAAACAUCAGUGAGCAAUGGUAUGUAUAUCAUGUGUCAUCACAAAGCAUAAAAUAAUAGCAGAACAUAUAAAAAAAGAAAGUAUAUCAGAAAUCCAUACACAUAUAUAUGCCAAUAUUUAUAUACACAUGUAAACACAUACACAAGUAUAUACACAUAUCAAUAACAUCAAGAGAAGCAGGAGAGAGAAAAGUCUUCAUUCACACCACGCUGGAGUCACUGUGUUCAAGGUGAAAAUAUAACACGUUUCUCUUUUAAUUACACAGUUGUCCCGAUCCCCUCCUCUGGGAGACUGGUGAAUUACCUCUAGACCCAUAAAGUGUACUAUAACCCACUUGGGCAAGUGAGUAAGCCCUUGAAAAAUAUUGUGCGGCGUCACUGGCACAUCCUACGUAGUGAUCUAAAUCUGGGAUGAGCUUUCCAAGCUCCCCUGUGUGUUUGUUAUAAAAGGGCUUUAAAUUUAAGGGACCGCCUCAUUUGCUCAUAUUCCCCAACACCUGCACGUUGUUUACCCCUCCUGAUACCGGAGGGUAAUUAUAAAUGCUUUAACUAUGUUGCCUGUAAUAACAUGAUCACAGAAAAAUGCUUUAUACAUCUCCACGCUAAUAAAUCUUUUAAAGUAAAUGGUAGAAUCGCUUGUCUAUCGUCAUUUGUGGUAUACGUACUCUCCUGCCCAUAUUGGCAAUAUUAAGUAGGUAUUUAUGUUGUGGUUAAUGUCAUUUUGGGCAUGAUGACACAUGGCCCUUUUAUAGAUUUAUCAAGUACGCGGUGCAGCAUAAUACAUUUAAUUGUAUUUUAAGCUGUAUUUUACCAAAUAUCUCCCAGUUGUUGUGUCCUGCAUCCAGUUGUUCCUGAAUACUCUCAUUAGCUCAAAUUUCCAGCAAACAUUGCACCUCUGCUGUAGACCUAUGUGAUCCUUUUGCUGCUAUUUUUGUUAAAUAUUUGUCUCUGCCUGAUCAGUACAGCCUACCCGAUCCAUUCCCCCUCAUUAUAGUGUACCUGUUCACCUGUGUGUGUUGGUCACAUCAUUGAUGUCAUGUCUGUGUUCCAUGCUCAUGCACGACUAGUAGUCACACUAGAUGCGUACUGUGCCCAUGUCCAACUGAACUGCACUGGCCCACCUCUUCAAGGAUUGACAGCCCUGUAUUCACUUUUUGUAGCAAAUAUCCAAAUUGCGAUUGCAACCCGCUUUUUCACUGGAACACACAGAUGGCAGUUUGUGUUUGACUGCUGAGGUGCAUUAGUAAAUCCUUGUGAAAUGUAUUCAAAUGACUCGUGGGACAACCGGAAAUUUUGAAUGUUGAGUUAAAUCCAGGAACAAUAACAUCCCACCUGUACAUUGAACGUGGAUGCUCCAAACAAUACAAGAUGUUCACCUCCUUUGUAACGCCAUCUGUAAAAUAAAAGCUGCUAUCAAUACACACAUAAUACACACGCUCGGUGUGAAAGGAGUACUAGAGUACUCAACUGGUUGGUUGACACAAAACUUUGGUCUGGAUCUUUACUUUCUGCACCAGAAAUGUCCACCUCUGUAUUAAGACCAAUAUUUUUCUCAUGAUGGUUUAUUGAUGUGUCGUAUACAGUGCUUUCUGGUCAUAUUUGGUAUUGUAGGUUGCAAAAACGAUACAAAAUAGCAAAAAGUUUGUUAGGACAAUGCAUCCUAGAUUCAUGAGCAUUUAGUCCCAAGCCCAGUUCUCAGUUACUUGAGGAGUUGUUUGUAACUACCUUACAUUUUCUAGGAAAAUUAAGGAGAAAAAUAUGGUAGGUAUUUGCAAUUGCCAAAAGUAGGACAAAUUUAAUUGUGAUUAAUGCAGUCUGAUGCUUUUGCAAAAUUUGUAUUUUCGUAGUUAAUUAUAGGCUAGCUUUUUCUUAACAAAUUUAAGAUGUAUGGCAACUACUGUUUUUAUUAUCCACAGGAAAAUGUUUAUUAAUGGGCUAAGCUGGGAUACCUGCAAAAAGGACAGAUUAUCUGUCCAAGUUUCGUGAAGUCCUGGAUUGCACCAUUAAAACAGACCCCGUUACGGGUUGCUCCCGUGGUUUCGUAUUUGUCCUUUUUAAAGACACGGACAGCGUGAAAAAGGUCAGCAUGUGUGUGUGAGGUCUAGGUUCUGCCCUCUUAAUAUGAUCUAAUGCUUCUUUCGGUGUUGGAGUUCAAAGAGCACAAGCUUGAUGGAUAACUUAUUGAUCCUAAAAGAGCCAAAGCGCUGAAGGGGAAGGAGCUUCCCAGGAAAGUCUUUGUUGGGGGCCUGAGGCCUGAGACGUCAGAGGAUGAGAUCCGGGAAUAUUUUGAAAGUUUUGGCACAAUCAACAGCAUUGAGCUUCCAAUGGACACCAAGACCAAGGAGAGUGUGAAAUUAAGGUUGCCCAGCUGAAGGAAGUCUACAGGCAGCAGCAGCAGCACAGAGGGGACUGGAGCAGCUAUGGAGGAAUAGGAGCUUCCAGGGGUCGCGUACGGGGAGAUGAGACAGAGAAUCAUGAGGAAGUGGUCAGUGGGAAGGAAGAGUACCACAUGGAAGUAUCUGAAAGGGAGGACUCCUCCUCAGACUCCCUAGACCUGGAUGAAAUGGAAGAGGACUCUUUUCUUUCAAAAAAUGGAGAAAUUUCGUGGUCCUCAGCACCAUAUCAACAUUAUGAAGACGGAUCACGCUAGCCGCCUGUGCUAUUUUUCCACCUGAUUGAUGUGUCUGCCUACAAUGCUUUAAUGAUCUGGAGAGAAAUCAAUCCUUCCUGGAAGUCACAAAGGCAUAAUUGCAGGAGGUUCUUUUGGAGGAUUUGGGAAGAGCACUAAUAACAGCAUACAUCGAAGAGAGGCGGCAGCUUCCCUGUGGACCUGUUACUGCAGCCAUUGUGAAGGCUUUACGGGAGAGUUCCAGUAGUCCACAGGCUAAGAAAGCUGGAGAUGGAAAGAGAAAUUGGUGCCAUUUCUGCCCAUCGUGUACAGACACCAAAACAAACUCAAUUUGUAUAAAGUGUGGACACUACAUAUGUGGAAAACAUACUUUGAAAAUCCUUCGUUUGUGCCAUGUUUGUAAUGAGUAAAGUUGUCCAUGCUCGUUGUAUUAGUGGGAAGUCACACCCUAAUAUUCUGUUUCUGUCCUUUUAUUGUGUUACUGUGUUAACUCUCCACAAUGCUACUGAGUUAGCUAUUCCCCAGCUUAGUUCCCACCUGAAAGGACCCCAGCUCCGACACUAAGCUAAGAGCCUACGUAGGUGUCUAGUAAUCUGCCUGUUCAAAAAUCCAACAGCAGUAUUUAAUUGUAGUUAUUUAUGUUUUAGGAUUUCUGAUUAUAUUGUUGUGACAUAUUUAGAGAUGCACCUAUUGCAAUUUUCAGUCAAUCAAUUUGAUUUUCAAUCAAUUUGCCAAUUCCAAUUUCCAUGCAAGAAUGAUGU